GUGUGCUCCUAUAAUCAAGAUCAAAAAGGUCUUUAUUGAGGGUUGUAAUGUGGGCUCUUUGGCAAGGUAGGAUAUAUUUGGCUAAGUGACUAAAAGAUGCGAAUCAAAGUAACAUCAUCACCAACCUUAUAGCAUUCUUACUCAAUUCUAUCCUCCACCUUCCACAAAACCAAAUUUUUCAAUAUAUAAUCCACCACAACACAACAAUUAUUUCUCUUGACAUUAUGACUUUCUAAUGCAUCCUAUGUACCCAUUUUUUUUCCAAUUCUUUUCUCUUUUUUUUUCCUACCUAUUUUUUUUCCUACCUAUUUUUUUUCUUUUUUCUUUUCUAACUAACUUGUAGGUACUAGGUAUUUUCUAAUUUAAACCACAAAACAUAACUCAUGAUCAUUUAUCUCCACAACCCAAUUAUCUCCUAUCAAAUAAUCUCCAAGCUUCCACCCAUAGCUAAAUCAAAGAAUAUGGAAAAAUAAGGCUCAAAGGGGGUGAACUAGGAUCAUAUAAAGAUACAGGACAAAUAAGGGACAAAUAGGCAAGCAAAGAUGGCCUUCUAUCAUCUCAAAGUUAUUAAGCACACUAUGUGACCUCGAGGGAGAAACCAAGACAAGUUCUAGUGAGAAACAUGCAUGCUUGAACAAUCACUCAAGAAUAAGAAAUAAGACUGUAAAAUAAUGACAGUCAAGGCUCAAAUCCUCACAGCUUAUUUCAUUGAUUGCAAACACAUAGAGACCACGCUUAUCAUUCAUCACUCAUGCUCAAUCACAACAAUAUCAACACAAACGCAUGCAAUUCCAUAAGUUUUAAACAGAAAUCAUCAUGAGCCAGUUAUCCAACCAAUCUCUACACUACUCACAUCAUCAUCAAGGUAACAUCACAGAGAAACUACCAAAGCAAGACUAAAACAAACUACAACGACAAAACAAAAACAACCAAACAAAAGUAGCACCACAAAGACACAUCCCCCAACCUAACUUAUUCACCACCAAGAGAAUAAGUUUGAAAGGAAUUGUGGGGUACAAAAACAAACAAGCAAACAAAAAGAAACGAACUAACCAAGAUUGGGUUGCCUCCCAAUAAGCGUAUUAUUUAACUCGUUAGCUCGACGAUACCAGCAGGUGUAGGUGGUGGCCACUUUUCAUCAAAUUUGAGUACAUCAUCUGUUGCGAACCAAUGAUAAGGUGGUUUUCCAACCUUCAAAAUUUCUUGAAAACUAUGGCCAUCCUGUGAACAAUCAAAAGUAACUACAACAACUCCAAAAAGUAGUUCAUCAGAUGAAUCAAAAUUAAAAUACAAAAGAAUGGAGUUAGAUAAAAGCUAAAGAGACAAGCCUUCAAUGAUUUCCCUUGGUCGAUGCAAGUGUCGACUACAUUUAGGACAUUGCGCUCUUCAACACUUUUAAAAUUUUCAUCCUUCAAGCUUAUCUCAAACUUUCAGAACUUCUUGCUCUUCUUCCUAUCGCUUGAGGUCUCUUUCAUAUGAUGUAUCACUUUCGAGCUCAAUGGUCAUACACUGCUCUUUUGGACUACCACGUAUUGCUUGAGUAAUUGGCCCCGACUGAUUAGAUUGCUAAUAGCAGUGAUUGAGCAUCUGAGUCUCAAACACCUUCAUCGGUCCCUAAAGCAGCAUGGUAGACUCAAGCUUCUCCAUCCUCUCAUCACUUGGAGAUAAAUUUCAUCAGAGCUCUUCCAAAUUAGGCUUCUUCUCCUCAUUGAUGACUCCAUUGGUGACAGAGAAGCCUGGUGGAGCCUGAAGCGCGUUAUUCGGGCACCCUCCAUGAUAGAACUGUUGCCAACUCUGAUGUUUCCCUGUUGUACUUUUGAAAUCCACCCUGCUGAAAAAUUCCUGAAAUUCCAAUUGCUGACAAAAUUUGCCUCUUCAUCAUCAUCGAUUUUUCACAGCUGACUCCAUCUUAGCAAUACAAAGCAUUUAUCUUGGAAGACAAUGCAGCGAUUUGAGUGGCUAAAAAGUAACUGAAUCAGAAUUUGUGGUGGCAGCAACAUUCUCCAAAUAUACCCUCUCGGCUGGCCAUUGAUAGCAUGUAGUGCCCAUGCUAUCAAAAAUCUCCAUAGCUGCUCAUGCACUACCUGAAACUCAGAACCAAAAAUAGACCACAAAAAAAUAAAGAACAAAAUAAAAUAAACAAAAAAAAUCCAGAUUAGUCUCAAACAAUAAGAUAGUAUGAUAAAAAUCAGUCCCCGCAACGGCGCCAAAAACUUGUUCGCUAUUUUAUUUAACACGCCGCAAGUGUACGUGCAAUUGUGUACAGUAGCAAGCAAGGUCGUAUCCACAGAGACUAUUAACAAUCUAUCUAUUAUUAUCUCUAUCUGGAAACGAAUUGAGAUUUUGUUUUUAAAACAGAAUAAAAAAUAAAAAAGGAAAUAAAAUAAAUCAAGCUGCGAAAAUACGAGAAACAGAAAGAGAGAUUCCAAGGAAAGGUUUCAACAGAUUCUCCUAACUAACAUGUUCAAUUCAAUUAAUAAGACGAUUCCUAAGACAAUAUUCUCCUAACUAACAUGUUCAAUUCAAUUAAUAAGACGAUUCCUAAGACAAUCUCUAAGCUAGUUCAUACCCACUCCCGUGGCAUACAAACCGUUGAUUACAUGCAAGGCUAUCGUCCCCGGAUUGCACUUCUAACAUGCAACUCCUAAAAGCUCAUAGGAUUAACGCCCUCACAAAUAUCAAUUCCCUUUAGAAUUAAAUAUAUGUGUUCUAUGUUCUUAGUUCAGGUAAUAAUUAUCAUCUCCCGAUAUCAAAUUAAAACAUAUGAUUAUGCUAAAUUGGUGGCCAAUCAAUAAAGCAAACAAUUAUAACAAGAACAUAAAAAGGAAUAACAAUCUCAAUUAAUUGAAUCAAACAGUCAAAAUUUCAAAUCAUGUCUACUCCCUAAAGUCUAAACCCUGGAAAAAGGGAUUCUAGCCACACAUAGACAUAUGAACUAGAAUACAAUUCUCAAUAAACAAAUAAACAUCCAACAAGAAAAACCGUAGUAAAAUCGAGAAUCUUCAGUCUUGCUCUGUUCUCCAUCUCUCUCAGCUCUCAAGAAAAGUAAAUAUGAUAAAAAGCCUUUAGAAUAAGUUCUUGGGGAGUAUUUAUAUGCCCUAGGUCAAGUAGGACUCAAAAAUACCCCAAAAAUCGCAUAAAAGGGUGAAAAAUGGACUUUUGGGCGAAACCUCGGCGACUCGCGCGGCUGCGCGCCUGGACCGCGCGGUCUUCCAGCAAAUUCUGCUUCGUCGCGCGGCCGUGGCAUGCGGCCGCGCGAGCUCUGACGCUUUGCGCAGUAAUUUUGUUUUGACUCGUUCUCCUUCGUCCGAACACCGAUUUACGAUCCGUUUGCGCUCACGAACUACAACUUAUAUUUCAGCCAAUUCUUCCAAAUUCGGCUUCAUUAUAUCUGAAAAUUCGUUCAAACAACAAGCAAGUGACAAAUUCUUGACCAUAAACCAAUAUAAGCUCAAAUAAAUCAUCAAACACACAAAAUCCUCACAACUAAGCAUCAAAAAUGACACACCAAGAGGUAAAAUAGCAUGUUUAUCAACCCCCCAAACUUGAACUAUUGUCCGUCCUCGGACAAAACAAAGAUGAACCAAGAAUGAAUCAACAAGAGCGUAGAGAAAAGUGGAUAACAACGUGGCUUCAGAUUUGUCAACAAAAUAACGACAUGCAUUUGUAUCUCCUAUCAUCAAGAUAUAACACUCAUGACAAACUUCAAAUUAUGGUCUCAAUGACUUUCAAUCCUCACCAAAAGAUAAAGAAUUUAAGAGCUCUCAACUCUCAAGUGUGUCAAUCAACAUGGACGUGUAUACGCUCAGUUCAAGCCGAACAAGUACUCAACCAUAAGCUUGUCAAUCGUCUCACCUCUCCACCACUUAAUGUGUGCUCCUAUAAUCAAGAUCAAAAAGGUCUUUAUUGAGGGUUGUAAUGUGGGCUCUUUGGCAAGGUAGGAUAUAUUUGGCUAAGUGACUAAAAGAUGCGAAUCAAAGUAACAUCAUCACCAACUUUAUAGCAUUCUUACUCAAUUCUAUCCUCCACCUUCCACAAAACCAAAUUUUUCAAUAUAUAAUCCACCACAACACAACAAUUAUUUCUCAUGACAUUAUGACUUUCUAAUGCAUCCUAUGUACCCAUUUUUUUCCAAUUCUUUUCUCUUUUUUUUUCCUACCUAUUUUUUUUUUUCUUUUUUUUUUUUUUUCUUUCAACAACUUGUAGGGUACUAGGAUUUUCAAUUUAAAACCACAAAACAUAACUCAUGAUCAUUUAUCUCCACAACCCAAUUAUCUCCUAUCAAAUAAUCUCCAAGCUUCCACCCAUAGCUAAAUCAAAGAAUAUGGAAAAAUAAGGCUCAAAGGGGGUGAACUAGGAUCAUAUAAAGAUAUAGGACAAAUAAGGGACAAAUAGGCAAGCAAAGAUGGCCUUCUAUCAUCUCAAAGUUAUUAAGCAC
rnacentral:lncRNA from 1 species